CCUAGGAAAUUGCCCUGAUGUGGGGGAUAACCAUUGGAAACGAUGGCUAAUACCGCAUGAUGCCUACGGGCCAAAGAGGGGGACCUUCGGGCCUCUCGCGUCAGGAUAUGCCUAGGUGGGAUUAGCUAGUUGGUGAGGUAAGGGCUCACCAAGGCGACGAUCCCUAGCUGGUCUGAGAGGAUGAUCAGCCACACUGGAACUGAGACACGGUCCAGACUCCUACGGGAGGCAGCAGUGGGGAAUAUUGCACAAUGGGCGCAAGCCUGAUGCAGCCAUGCCGCGUGUGUGAAGAAGGCCUUCGGGUUGUAAAGCACUUUCAGUCGUGAGGAAGGUAGUGUAGUUAAUAGCUGCAUUAUUUGACGUUAGCGACAGAAGAAGCACCGGCUAACUCCGUGCCAGCAGCCGCGGUAAUACGGAGGGUGCGAGCGUUAAUCGGAAUUACUGGGCGUAAAGCGCAUGCAGGUGGUUUGUUAAGUCAGAUGUGAAAGCCCGGGGCUCAACCUCGGAAUUGCAUUUGAAACUGGCAGACUAGAGUACUGUAGAGGGGGGUAGAAUUUCAGGUGUAGCGGUGAAAUGCGUAGAGAUCUGAAGGAAUACCGGUGGCGAAGGCGGCCCCCUGGACAGAUACUGACACUCAGAUGCGAAAGCGUGGGGAGCAAACAGGAUUAGAUACCCUGGUAGUCCACGCCGUAAACGAUGUCUACUUGGAGGUUGUGGCCUUGAGCCGUGGCUUUCGGAGCUAACGCGUUAAGUAGACCGCCUGGGGAGUACGGUCGCAAGAUUAAAACUCAAAUGAAUUGACGGGGGCCCGCACAAGCGGUGGAGCAUGUGGUUUAAUUCGAUGCAACGCGAAGAACCUUACCUACUCUUGACAUCCAGAGAACUUUCCAGAGAUGGAUUGGUGCCUUCGGGAACUCUGAGACAGGUGCUGCAUGGCUGUCGUCAGCUCGUGUUGUGAAAUGUUGGGUUAAGUCCCGCAACGAGCGCAACCCUUAUCCUUGUUUGCCAGCGAGUAAUGUCGGGAACUCCAGGGAGACUGCCGGUGAUAAACCGGAGGAAGGUGGGGACGACGUCAAGUCAUCAUGGCCCUUACGAGUAGGGCUACACACGUGCUACAAUGGCGCAUACAGAGGGCGGCCAACUUGCGAAAGUGAGCGAAUCCCAAAAAGUGCGUCGUAGUCCGGAUUGGAGUCUGCAACUCGACUCCAUGAAGUCGGAAUCGCUAGUAAUCGUGGAUCAGAAUGCCACGGUGAAUACGUUCCCGGGCCUUGUACACACCGCCCGUCACACCAUGGGAGUGGGCUGCAAAAGAAGUAGGUA
rnacentral:rRNA from 1 species